rnacentral:tRNA from 1 species
GGAGACGUGGGUGAGUGGCUGAAACCAACGCUUUGCUAAAGCGUCAUACGGGUGACCGUAUCGAGGGUUCGAAUCCCUCCGUCUCCGCCA